UACGUAGGGGGCAAGCGUUGUCCGGAUUUAUUGGGCGUAAAGAGCUCGUAGGCGGCUCGGUAAGUCGGAUGUGAAACCUCCAGGCUCAACCUGGAGACGCCAUCUGAUACUGCCGUGGCUUGAGUCCGGUAGAGGAGCAGGGAAUUCCUGGUGUAGCGGUGAAAUGCGCAGAUAUCAGGAGGAACACCGAUGGCGAAGGCAGGUCUCUGGGCAUUAACUGACGCUGAGGAGCGAAAGCAUGGGGAGCGAACAGG
rnacentral:rRNA from 1 species